rnacentral:rRNA from 1 species
UACGAAGGGGGCUAGCGUUGCUCGGAAUCACUGGGCGUAAAGCGCACGUAGGCGGAUCUUUAAGUCAGGGGUGAAAUCCCGGAGCUCAACUCCGGAACUGCCUUUGAUACUGUGGAUCUUGAGUUCGAGAGAGGUGAGUGGAACUGCGAGUGUAGAGGUGAAAUUCGUAGAUAUUCGCAAGAACACCAGUGGCGAAGGCGGCUCACUGGCUCGAUACUGACGCUGAGGUGCGAAAGCGUGGGGAGCAAACAGG